UUUAUGAAUAGCAUAAAGAUAAAAGAAGAUAAAGGCAAGAAAUGAAUAAUGAAGAUGAGUCACCAAAAAUGUAAUCAAACAGACUUACGGACUAAGCAGGGUUAGAAAGGCAGUGUCAAUACCGUGUGGAGCUGGAGGAACACAGCAGAUCAGAGAAGCAGGAAGAGUCAACGUUUCUGUUUACACCCUUCAUCACAGAGGCAGGCAGGUUUGGGGAGAGAAGGCAUGGAAAUGAAGUCAGAGCAGAUGAAGAUGCAGCCACUGAAAACAGGACGAAGAAAAGGAGUGUGCUGGGCAUUAUUACACAACCACAGAAAAAUCAACAAGGACUUAAAGGCAGAAGAUACGAAAACCUGAACACAUGCACCUGCAGGUUCAAGAACAGCUUCUUCCCAGCUAUUAUUAGAUUGAAGAAUGGACUCGCUAGCCUCAAAUGAUGCUUAUUUGCUAAUGUCGAUCUCGCCUAGUGCACACUACGUGAAAUGUAACCUGUAUGCCUCUGUCUAAGUCUUUUUGAUUUGUACAUCAUUGCUUACUAUGAUCUGCUUGUCUAAUUGUAAACGAAGCUUUUCACUGUACUUGGGUACACGUGACAGUCAAUCAAUCAAUCCUUCAUGUGUCCUGAUUCCAAGGAUGACAAGAUAGUAUUGAACUAACAUUAAUCUUCAAGCUUCCAACCACCAAGGAUGCCUAAUCACUGCAAAGGGUCUUACAAUAGUAGAUAUUUGAAAGUAGUCACUUUUCCUAAUAUAAACAUAUCCCCAGUUAACCUUUCGCAGAAAUAGACUAAAAGUAAUAUUCAUUCUUGUACUUUUUGUUUCUGAGACUAGGAAUAGUUUGUAAUGGAAACAUCCAUCAUAAGUUUCACAGAUGUUUUUAAAUGGAAGCUAGAUAAAUAUAGUCUUGUUAAAAGUAAUUCCUAAGAUGUUGAUGUUGCUGCCUGAGCCAGUAUUUAUUGCCCAUCCCAAAUUAAUAGUUGGCCAUAUGACUGUAUGUCUGGAGUCAUGUGUAGGCCAGAGCAAAUGAGGAGAGCUGACUUCCCUUUCCUAAAGGACAUUAGUAAACAAGAUACAUUUUUAUAACAAUCGACAGAGGUUAUCUAUCAAUAGGCCUUCAUGUAGUGGAAAGAAAAGAAUUACAGGAUAAGUGUGGAUAAAGGAAGAUGAAGGGACUAUAGAACAUAAACACAGGGACAGACCAGUUGGGUCUGCUUCUGUGCUGCCUAUUCUAUGUAACCCUGAAUAGCUUAAUGUAUUAUCAAGCUUAUAUAUUUAGUCUCUCAUUAGCAAGUACUAAUGAGUAAUUGAAAUCUGGAGUCUUUUAGUUGUUAUGAAUGCUGUUAUGGCAAAAAUUGUUGCAUUCAUAAUUAUUUCCUCACCAAUGCCAUGAGAGCAGCUCCAAGACCAAUGAGAGGACUGACAGCAAUAAUAACGAGUGUAAGCUUCCAACCACUGACAAAUCCCAGGAGGAAUCCGCUGACAAAAGUAGUGAAACGUUGAAUAAAAAUUCCAACUUGUUCAGCGAUAGCAUCGUUGAUUUUAUUAAUAUCACUGCAAUAAGAUGGAGAAUUUUGAAGGCUCAUGUGUCAUCAAAAUGUCUUAACACAGUUGUAAUUUUAAAGUAUCAAA